rnacentral:lncRNA from 1 species
AGGACAGGGAAGGCACAUGUCAGUCUAAAGUAAUAUCAAAGAAAGAGAGAGCAGUGCUGGAGACAUCAUGAGCGUGACUGAUCGUGAGCAUCUCUAAGUUUCCAAUUGCCUGUGGGCUUCAAUGGCCUAACCAACACCACCAGCAACAGCAGCAAAAGCAACGAGUGAGCCUCUAAAGAUUUCCCCAAUUCAAGCUGAAAAACACUACACCUACUAAAUGGUUUUAACCCUUUUGAAAAAUAGCCUUAGAAACCACCAGUGGUUUCUUAAGAGGCUUCUGUGAAGAUCAGGUGUACAAAAGGCACACACUGGCAGAUCAGCUUUCUGUCACAACUCACCAGCUCCGACACAGCUUCUUGGAAGAAAUGGAGACCACUGAACGAGAGAAGAGUCACAUAACAAUACUAAAACGUGCGGACAGCCCUUUGGCCGGAUGAAGCACCACGAGAUAAGGGCUGUUCCGUUUGUUCACUGUAUUGUAGCAAACAAAAUGGAAUCCAGCACAUACCCACAAAGAGCUUGAAUAGCAGGACAUAAAAAUGAC